rnacentral:rRNA from 1 species
UGGAGAAAAGCAGGGGAUCGUAAGACCUUGCGCUUUUGGAGCGGCCGAUGUCUGAUUAGCUAGUUGGUGGGGUAAUGGCCUACCAAAGCUUCGAUCAGUAGCUGGUCUGAGAGGACGGCCAGCCACACUGGGACUGAGACACGGCCCAGACUCCUACGGGAGGCAGCAGUGGGGAAUUUUGGACAAUGGGCGCAAGCCUGAUCCAGCCAUGCCGCGUGAGUGAAGAAGGCCUUCGGGUUGUAAAGCUCUUUCAGCCGGGAAGAAAAGGCUGCGACUAAUAAUCGCAGUUCAUGACGGUACCGGAAGAAGAAGCACCGGCUAACUACGUGCCAGCAGCCGCGGUAAUACGUAGGGUGCGAGCGUUAAUCGGAAUUACUGGGCGUAAAGGGUGCGCAGGCGGUUUUGUAAGUCAGAUGUGA